UACGUAGGGUGCAAGCGUUAAUCGGAAUUACUGGGCGUAAAGUGUGCGCAGGCGGCAGAGCAAGUCGAGUGUGAAAGCCCCGGGCUUAACUUGGGAAUUGCGCUCGAAACUACUUUGCUGGAGUGUGGCAGAGGAAGGUGGAAUUCCACGUGUAGCGGUGGAAAUGACGUAGAUAUCUGGAGGAACACCGGUGGCGAAGGCGGCAUCCUGGACCAAUACUGACGCUGAGGAGCGAAAGCCAGGGGAGCAAACGGG
rnacentral:rRNA from 1 species